CUCCCUGUGGCUCAGUUGGUAGAGCAUGGUGUUUGCAACGCCAGCAUAGGUGUGCAACGCCAGGGUUGUGGGUUCGAUUCCCACGGGGGGC
rnacentral:tRNA from 1 species